rnacentral:rRNA from 1 species
CUACCCUUGACAUGUCCGGAAUCCUGCAGAGAUGCGGGAGUGCCCGAAAGGGAAUCGGAACACAGGUGCUGCAUGGCUGUCGUCAGCUCGUGUCGUGAGAUGCUGGGUUAAGUCCCGCAACGAGCGCAACCCUUAUCAUUAGUUGCUACGCAAGGGCACUCUAAUGAGACUGCCGGUGGCAAACCGGAGGAAGGUGGGGAUGACGUCAAGUCCUCAUGGCCCUUAUGGGUAGGGCUUCACACGUCAUACAAUGGUCGGUACAGAGGGUUGCCAAGCCGCGAGGUGGAGCCAAUCCCAGAAAGCCGAUCGUAGUCCGGAUUGUUCUCUGCAACUCGAGAGCAUGAAGUCGGAAUCGCUAGUAAUCGCGGAUCAGCAUGUCGCGGUGAAUACGUUCCC